GACGAACCGUGCGAACGUUGUUCGGAAUCACUGGGCUUAAAGGGCGCGUAGGCGGGCUCGCAAGUCAGGGGUGAAAGCCCGCGGCUCAACCGCGGAAGCGCCUUUGAUACUGCGGGCCUCGAGGGGGGUAGGGGCGUGCGGAACUUCCGGUGGAGCGGUGAAAUGCGUAGAUAUCGGAAGGAACGCCGGUGGCGAAAGCGGCGUGCUGGACCUUUACUGACGCUGAGGCGCGAAAGCCAGGGGAGCGAACGGG
rnacentral:rRNA from 1 species